UUAUUAUAACUAUAACCAUUAUUUUGUUUUGGUAUCUUGCCUGGGCCACUUGUGCUCCAUCUUAAUUAGUGAGAUUACUAACUCUACAUUUAUGACUCCUUUACCAGGUGAUGCGCGUGUGCCCGAUAACUACGCAGAUGAGCAUUCUCAAGAGCAAGUACAAGUCCUUAUUAAUACACAAGAAAAUGAACCCCAUUAUUCUAUUUUCCCUAUUUAAAUUUGAUUGCACCUGAGAAAAGGUCUUUCAUUCAUAAGCUAUCCUUUAAUAUGCUACAAAAGAAAAGAUGAAAUAGCUAAACAAUUCCAGUGCGGAUCCAAACAGAACGCUAACAUGACAAGGUGAAGCCUACCCACGUGUUCAAUGCUGCCAGAGUCACCGGUCGUCUGAACGUUGACUGAUGUGUGCCGCACAAGGUGGGUCUCUCUCUGUGUGUGAAGGGAUGCUGAAUUUAUAAGACUAUCAAAAACGCAAACAUGGAUGGUAACAGUGAAUACAUCAUCCUGGAGUAGAAACCAAUCCUUAAAGGGGGUAAUAGUUACUCAAUUUGUUUGUUUUUUUAAACUGAUUGAGUGGUUCAUUAGUGCUUAAAAUUAACAUACAUUACACACCUGUUUUGUUCUUCAA